rnacentral:rRNA from 1 species
CCUACGGGUGGCAGCAGUGGGGAAUAUUGCACAAUGGGGGAAACCCUGAUGCAGCGAUGCCGCGUGGAGGAAGAAGGUUUUCGGAUUGUAAACUCCUUUUAUCAGGGACGAUAAUGACGGUACCUGAAGAAAAAGCUCCGGCUAACUCCGUGCCAGAAGCCGCGGUAAUACGCAGGCAGCGAGCGUUGUCCGGAUUUACUGGGCGUAAAGGGUGCGUAGGCGGGUUAAUAAGUCAGAUGUGAAAUUCUGCAGCUUAACUACAGAACUGCAUUUGAAAAUGUUAAUUUGGAGUGUAGGAGAGGUAGGUGGAAUUCUUGGUGUAGGGGUAAAAUCCGUAGAGAUCAAGAAGAAU